AACGAACGCUGGCGGCAGGCUUAACACAUGCAAGUCGAACGCAUCGCAAGAUGAGUGGCAGACGGGUGAGUAACACGUGGGAACGUACCCUUUACUACGGAAUAACGCAUGGAAACGUGUGCUAAUACCGUAUGAGCCCUUAGGGGGGAAAGAUUUAUCGGUAAAGGAUCGGCCCGCGUUGGAUUAGCUAGUUGGUGGGGUAAAGGCCUACCAAGGCGACGAUCCAUAGCUGGUCUGAGAGGAUGAUCAGCCACAUUGGGACUGAGACACGGCCCAAACUCCUACGGGAGGCAGCAGUGGGGAAUAUUGGACAAUGGGCGCAAGCCUGAUCCAGCCAUGCCGCGUGAGUGAUGAAGGCCUUAGGGUUGUAAAGCUCUUUCACCGGAGAAGAUAAUGACGGUAUCCGGAGAAGAAGCCCCGGCUAACUUCGUGCCAGCCGCCGCCGUAACAC
rnacentral:rRNA from 1 species